UACAAUGAACUUAUGAACAUGCGAAAAUUGUAACGCCCAAAAUUUAUACAAAUUUUUAAAAAUUUGUAUAAAUUUUGGGCGUUACAAUUUUCGCAUAC
rnacentral:miRNA from 1 species